GAUUAACGCUGGCGGCGUGCAUAACACAUGCAAGUCGAACGAUGAAACUCAUUAGAUUUCUUCGGAAUGAAAAUGAAUGGAUUAGUGGCGAACGGGUGAGUAACGCGUGAGUAGCCUGCCUUACACAAGGGGAUAGCCUCUGGAAACGGAGAAUAAUACCCUAUGAAACCAGACAAUCGCAUGAUAAUCUGGUCAAAAUGUUUAGUGGUGUAAGAUGGACUUGCGUCUGAUUAGCUAGUUGGUGAGAUAAAAGCUCACCAAGGCAACGAUCAGUAGCCGGCUUGAGAGAGUGUACGGCCACAUUGGGACUGAGACACGGCCCAGACUCCUACGGGAGGCAGCAGUGGGGAAUUUUGCACAAUGGGGGAAACCCUGAUGCAGCGACGCCGCGUGAUUUAGAAGGCCUUCGGGUUGUAAAAAUCUUUUGUAUAGGAAGAAAAUGACAGUACUAUACGAAUAAGGUCCGGCUAAUUACGUG
rnacentral:rRNA from 1 species